UUUUGUUUUUGUUUUUGGGUUUGGCUUGUUUAAUUUUUUAAAAAACUUUACUAUAAUCGUAGAUAUAAAUUUGUAUUAUAUAGAUAUAUAGUAUAUUAUACUGAUAUAAUUUAUAGAAUUGAGCUUUUAUGCUUUUAAAAGUACCAACUCAUUGGUACUUGUAAGUUUUCGGCCCUCGGAUUAAGAAAUGUGCGGUUAAGAUGAUGUGGGCCUCCUAGGGUUUAGUCGUUAGUUGGUUGAAUAGUAUAAUCUAACGGGUGAAAAUGAUUAAAGGCGUAGAUCUAACGGUAAAAAAUUCACAAGCACCAAGUGCUUGAUGCUUUUACAAGCAUCAUAGCCAGACUCAUAAUUUAUAUAAUAUAAUAUAUUAUACAAAUUCUAUAUAAAAAUAUGUUAUAUUGGAUAAUACAUAUUAUAUAAAUUAUGUAUAAACUAAUAUUAUAUAUUAUAUUAUAUUUCAUUUAUGUUUUUAUAAUAUAAUAUUUUAUAUAAUUU
rnacentral:lncRNA from 1 species